UAAUUGAAGAGUUUGAUCAUGGCUCAGAUUGAACGCUGGCGGCAGGCCUAACACAUGCAAGUCGAGCGGUAACAGAAGAAAGCUUGCUUUCUUGCUGACGAGCGGCGGACGGGUGAGUAAUGUAUGGGGAUCUGCCCGAUAGAGGGGGAUAACUACUGGAAACGGUGGCUAAUACCGCAUAAUGUCUACGGACCAAAGCAGGGGCUCUUCGGACCUUGCACUAUCGGAUGAACCCAUAUGGGAUUAGCUAGUAGGUGGGGUAAAGGCUCACCUAGGCGACGAUCUCUAGCUGGUCUGAGAGGAUGAUCAGCCACACUGGGACUGAGACACGGCCCAGACUCCUACGGGAGGCAGCAGUGGGGAAUAUUGCACAAUGGGCGCAAGCCUGAUGCAGCCAUGCCGCGUGUAUGAAGAAGGCCUUAGGGUUGUAAAGUACUUUCAGCGGGGAGGAAGGUGAUAAGGUUAAUACCCUU
rnacentral:rRNA from 1 species